rnacentral:lncRNA from 1 species
CUGUUCACUAAUGGAAUUGUUUUAAAAACUUACCUUUCAUUUUUGUGAUUUCUAUAUGCUUUCACUGGGAUUCGAACCCGUCCAUGAAUCACGAAACCUCUGGGCUAACAAUCGGUUACGAUUUAAAUGUCUAUUUUAUAUAUAUAAAUGAAUGUAUGAAAUACAUCUGUACAACAGACACAGGGCUUCUACCUUUAUAUAUACAUAAUAGGCAAACGAAUAGUAUGAAUUGGUAGCCAUGAGGUUUCAUGGUUAAGAUA